rnacentral:lncRNA from 1 species
UUUGUCGUGGAUUUGUCACGGCAGAUGUCCUAGCAUAAGGACUUAGUCGUGGAGCCAUCGCUACGGGUUUACUUGUAGGGGUUAAAGCGGACACAAAGACACGAGAGUUUUAUACUAGUUCGGCCCCUUCGAUGAAGGUAAAAGCCUACGUCUAGUUGUGAUGGAAUUGAUGUAGUCUCGAUGGCUAGGGAGCAAAUAAGCUUCGCCUAGGCUCGAGUUGUGGUUGUCUGUCCUUGAACCGCCGCCGGGUCGUCCCCUUAUAUACACGAGUGACGCCCGUCGGUUCGUAGAGUCCCAACCGGUUCAUACUCGUAUCCCGGUUGGUAUCUCUCUAUUCCUAACUUACAACACAAGUCAUAUAUCAGGCCGGUUUACGGCUACAAGUUCCAAACCAACUACAGGCCUUGGGCCUUUCUAUGAUUACACCACCAGCGGAGCUAACCCGGCCCAAGCUUGGCCGGUUUACACCUAGUAGUAAUAUCCCCAACAUUAGGCCCCAGAUUGAUUUGAACUGGUUCAUGUCAAUCCUUCACAGAACCUGCAUCUUGGACAUCUUCUUUGUUUAAUAAACUGUCACAUCGUCAUUGCUUCUGAUCAUUGUAAACCGGCAUGACAUCAUUGCUUCUGGUAACUGUAAACCGGCAUGACGUCAUCUUGAAGUUUAUCCUUUUAUAACGCCUUCCUUAAUGACAGUCCCUGAUUCACGCGCUUGACCUAGCUUUACUGCCUUAUAAAUAGGACCGAAGGGUCAUUCUGUUUUUCCCUUCGCUUCCUCUUCUUCUUCUUCCUCGCGCCGCUGCCUUUGGAGCUCCACCGUCGUCAUCAACUUCUGCUUCGUCCUAGGCCGCUGCAUCAACCUGUACGGACCAGAAUACUGCGGCCUUUCUCCGCAGCUCCUCCGUUUCCGGUAAGCUUCUUGCCCUUCUUCAAUCUGUUUCCUCAUUUUAGAUCUGUUUCUAGGGUUCGAGCUUCAUACCAUGUUCUUCGUAUGUUUUCAUCUUUCUAGCCUUGAGUCAUGCUAUGAAUCCCGUUCUGUACCAAACGACGACUCCUGCGUAUCCGCUGCACUUUCUCAUCUUAAUCCCAUAGAUCUUCUGCAUAUAUAUACAUACACCUUAUAGUGCACUUCCUGUUUCUUCUUUACUUCCGCGACGCAUUUCCUGUUUGCUGAAAAACCCACGUUUGAUCCGUAGUAAACAUGAAUUUUUGUGAAACCUGUUUCUGUCCAUGACUUCAAUUACCUUCGAAGCCAAGAUUAGGCGGUUUAACUCACCAUAGUAAAAAGUUGCUAAACCGGUAUCGGUACACCAUUAGUCCCCUUGUUGAACCGCCAGAACGUAUCUGACAUCAUCUCAUAACGAACUGAUUUAUAGGAACCGCCUCCGGUUUAUCAUAACUUAGAUCAAUCACUCUGUAAUAAGCACUUUCUUAAACCGGAUCCUUCUCCUUGUAGAUCUUAUGAUGGCCAAACAGGUGUACGAAUGCAACUGGGUUCCUUCCCGCGUCUCCGAGACACAGUUGAAAGAACUGGUAUCGAUCGGCGCUUUAGAUGAUCAAAACACAAUCCAUUGGAGGGUUCCUAGAGAGGAAUGUCCUCCCACACCUCAGGAAGGAGAAGUUGUAGUUUUUGCGGAUCACCUGGCCCGGGGUUUCAAACCGCCCGGGUCAAAAUUUUACCGGGACGUGAUGGCCAAUUUUCAGCUUCGUCCCCAAGACAUCGGCCCCAACUCCGUUACUAACCUUUGCCACUUUCAAGUACUGUCCGAAGCAUAUCUGCAAGAGGAACCUUCCAUUGAACUAUUCAGAGAUCUUUUCCACCUAAACCGUCGAACUGAAUUCACCGACGGCCCCAAUACAGAAUUGGGCGGUAUGGCUAUCCAGAAGAGGAAGGAGAUCACUUAUCCCCAUGUCAAACUCCAUACUCACCCCAAAGAGUGGAAUGUGACUUGGUUCUAUUGCAAAGAUACUUCUCCUGAAGGCGAAAAUCCUUUACCUGGCUUCCGUCCAGAGCGGUUAAGCAAUACUCAUCCUUUUCCUCAAAGACUGACUGCCAAAGAAAGAAGCAAAUAUGCCCCACAACUAUCCAAACUCCGCGCUUUCAUGGCCAACGGUUUGACUGGAAUCGAUCUUGCACGCUGCUGGCUAUCUUGGGGCAUACUGCCUUUGAGCCGGCGUUCCGGUUUAAUGUGCCAAUAUACCGGCAGUGUCGACGACCCACUCCGACACACCAAACUGGAACUGUCUGAAGAUGAAGUUACGGAUUCAGUAAGGAAAAUGCUGAAUGAACCGGAGCAUCUCUGUGCUCAAACCGGCUUGGCUCCUUACUGCACCAUCAACGCACCACCUGCGGUAAGUCUCUGACUGUGUCAUUAUAAAAACCCAUUGUUACUUUCAUAUGUCCAACUCUCAAUUAUUUCUGAUCCAGGGCGACAAUCCGUUUUGGAGCAAAAAACUCUCUCAAGACAAAGCGGAUAAAGCUGGGCGGCCAAUUCGGCCCAAAACAAAAGUUGUCAAGAAAUCCGCCCACAAGAGGAAGACUACUGCUUCGUCUGAUCCGGCCAUUGAUGAUGAUGUGGGUAAUCCGGAACUUGAUUCUCUUGGCUUGUUUUUUACACGUCUUAUUGAUGACGAUGCUUGUCAGGAUGACGCUGAAGCCAGCAACGCAGGAUUUGCUGAGGUAACCAUUCUCUCUUCCGAUUCAACAAAUUUGCCUUCACCAAAAUUUCGCCGGGCAAACCGGAAAGUUAACUUUUCUCACCCUCUUGCUUACUUGGAUCCCAAACUUCUUAUGAAGACACAGCAACAUGAAGCUCGUCGCACAACCCGGCACAGCGGACAGGUAGUUACCUCUGCCGGUUUACCAAACAGCCCGGCUCGAAAGCGCCGCACCGAGGUUUCCAACCUUUUUAUUGCCUUAAAUUCCAAAGCGGGUUUGUUCCGUCAACCUCUUAAUCCGUCCGACUCCGAUUAUCAGGUCACCUCCCAUUCAUCCUCUGGCGAAUCGUCAGCCACUCAGCUACCACCGUUGAAGAUAGCCGUCGGGUAAGUUCAUACAGCCAUAUGCUUUUCGAUUUCUUCUGCAAUGUAUACGCCUUGCUCCUGAAUCUUUGUUUCUUCAGAACCAAACCGAAACCCAGCAAGAAGGCUCGCUUGGAAAAAACAGCUGAAGAGGCUGCCGCUUCAGAUCAUGAGCGGGCGCCAGAUCUCAAAAAUGCUGCCCCUGAAGAUAUUCCAAAUGACCCUCCGGUUCAAGAAGAUGUUAUUCCUGAGGAGAGGCCUGUGAAUGUUUCAAUGUCUGUUGAUCCACCUGCCAGUACUGUCCGGUCUGAAAAGCCUCACAGUCCUACUGAAACAGCUCUGCCCACACGAUCCGUCGAAUCGAAAGAUGACGACGUUGUAAUUACUGGAACAGGCCACUCUGAACCGGGGAACGCUGCAACUCUAACCCGGCAUACUGUGAAGGAGGAUUUUUCAACUUGGAACAAAGGAAAGUGGGCUGCCGAGCUAGAAACAUAUGCCGCUUUAAGCGCCCAAGAUCUUCACUCUGGAUACCUGAACCGGCUCUAUAGUAGCCGUGAUUAUGAAGCUGGCUUGGUGAAAUUAAUGAGAGACAAGUUUGAGGUAACACUCUUUUCCUUAUUACCAGUAUAGUAGUCCUUGUAGCCCCCAAGGGCCGGUUUAUGAUCUUUGAUCAAACUGGGACUUGAUAAUUUUCUUUGAUAGACUUUGCAAUCCUCCCUCAUAGCCACCAGGGCCGGUUUAACGAUGCAUACUUAAACCGGUACUCAAAAACUUCCUGACAACACUUUAAUAGAAUCAAAUAGUCAUUAGCCCCCAAGUGCCGAGCUGAAUACUCGUAUUCAACUUGGGACUUUGCCAUGUAUUAGCAGUAGAAAGAUUGAAGGUACAUUAGCCCCCAAGUGUCAAGCAUAUAACUGUGUUGUAUGGUUGAGACUUUAACUUGAAUUGUUGGCUGAUCAAACUAUCAAUGCGCAGGCUGAGGUGAAGAUCAAGGAUGAUCGGAUUGCCGAUUUACAGGCGGCUUUGAAAACCCAGCAGGCCGAGACAGAAAAAGCCAAGAAGGAGCUAACCAGCGCCUUGACUGCUGCUGAACAGGUGAAGGAAAACAUGAAGAAGGAACAGGCAGUCUGGGCCACCGAAAAGGCUAACUUGCUCAAACGGGCAGAAAAUGCUGAAGCUGCCCUUAAACCGGUGGUGGAUGAUCUGACAGCCGUGAAGCGGCAAGUACAUUCUAUGACGGCAGCCAUCUUCGGUGAGUUCCUUGUGAAUAAGUGUAAUAUGCUGUUCCUGCUGCACCAUUAUUCCGGUUUAAAACUAUCCUGUUAUCAAAUGCAGGCACACGCGUUGGGCACUUGGGAAAUGACGUGCGGAAGAAACUGAAGGCUGUCUACACUUUAGUGGAACAGCUGUAUACCGGAGCCCAGCGCGUGAUUACCACAAUGUCACAUAACAAUCCAGCGCCGUCCCUGAUCCAAGAUACCCUGAACCGGCUUUCCAUCCUUCCUUCCCGGAUUGAAGAGGUGAAGAAAUCUGCUGCACGAACCGGAGCCAUCAACGCCUUGAUCCGAGCCAAAGCCUGGGUGCCGGAUUUUGAUCCCGUGGAAGCAGCUCAAGGCUAUCCCAGUGUGAAGGAAGACGGCUCGGACUUCAGUGAAGAGGACUUGCGUGCGAUAAACCGUGCGGUACGCUCGCUGGCUUGUCAAUUGGUGGAAGAAGCCGAUUUGGAGCACUACCAAGCCCAAUACAAUGAGCAGAACAAGCGUGUGCCCGCUCCAACCUUUGAACCAGAAAACUUGAUCCCUCCAAUCCGUAAGCACACUUACGCUCCUGACAUUGAACCGUCGUCUCUGAUUCACGAAGAGGCUGUUUUCCAAGCGCUAAUGGGAAUCGACUGGACUACUGUGGAUUUCCAGCCAAUGGAUAGAGACGAAGAUGCUGAAGCGGCGGGAGAUGAGGAACAAUCUUGAACCGGUAGCCGGCUUAACCCAAAGAACAAUGACCUCAUUCGGGCACUGUGUUGCCUUGUAAUAGCCUUAGUUAAAACUUGCUGCCUGGAUAUGCCUUUGUGCAUAGAUGAAACUUUUGUUUAAGUCACACUCCCUGCAACCAAAAAAUUGAACCUCGGCGGCGGUGACCCCGCCCGCCGGUUUAUGGCAUCCAAUAUAUUUUGUGUAUCGAAAAAUCAAUUAGUAUGCGAUACAAAUACCUGUCGUAUCAAGGCAUGAAGCUGGUAUAGCCAAUCUUGAAGCGGAGGCCUUUAAAAACCAUGACCGUCUGGGGAGACAAUAACUCCUACAUAGGCGUGCUGAAACGGCACAAGCCCCCGUGUUACUCCAUAAGGAUGAACCGGAAAAAGGUAAACCGAGCAGAGAAAAACUACGGUGUAAUAGCAAACCGUGUCCUGCCAGUUUGUUACUGACAGCUAAACCGGAUAAAAAUAUUCGUCGGGUUGAAAAACGCAACAAAAAUCGAAUACCAACUAUGUCAAAAUAUGGCAACAAAGGCAAUAACUCUUUGCAAAAGUAAAGCUUCAUGGAGCUGGUCAGAUGGCAUUACCAUGGUCAGACGCAACCAAGCCCCCCGAAAGGCGUAGCGAUGGUGCUAGUCGGCCAGGUCCCCAAAAGACUCUUGGCGAGUACGCCGGCCAAGUGGCAUGACAUUGGUUCGGGUUCGACCAAGCCUCCAAGUGACGCUGGCCCUAUUGGCCGACCAAGAGGCGUGACCGGUUCAGACGUGACCGUGUCCCCAAAUGAUCUGGUGGCUUUCGCCUAUCAAGAGGUGUUGCGUUGGUUCGUACACGACCAAGCCCCCAAGUGAUAAAUAUAACUGUCAAGGGGUAAACCGGAGGCCGCUUUAAAAACAGAAGCACUCCAUGUAACCACACAUGAAAAUAAAGACAGAGACCCCGCUUUAGCUGAGGCCCUGAUUUUUAUUAUAUCAAAGAUAAUAUAUACAUUGUCAUGCUAUGUACAUAAACUGAGCCGAUGACUCAAGUGUAGUAAGGUCGAAGAUGAGCUAUAUUCCACGGCCGAUUGGUCUCCUCCUCUGAUGUACGUGAGUCUUUACGCUCUCGAAUAUCAACCAGAUAGUAGGAACCGUUGUGUAGAUUCUUGCUGACCACAAAGGGUCCUUCCCAAGGCGGGGAUAACUUGUGCAUAUCUGUCUGGUCUUGGAUGAGACGAAGCACCAAAUCUCCUUCCUGAAAGGCUCUGGUCUUAAGCCGGCGGCUGUGAUAACGACGAAGAUCUUGCUGGUAAAUCGCCGAACGAGCGGCUGCCAAAUCACACUCCUCAUCCAAUAGGUCCAAAGCGUCCUGUCGUGCCACCUCGUUGUCCGCUUCAACAUAAGCCGCUACACGGGGCGAAUCGUGCCUGAUAUCACUGGGGAGAACUGCUUCUGCUCCAUAAACCAUGAAGAAAGGUGUGUAGCCAGUAGACCGGUUUGGCGUAGUAUUGAUACUCCAUAGUACCGAUGGGAGCUCUUCAACCCAGCACCCUGGUGUUCUCUGUAAUGGAACCAGAAGUCGGGGUUUGAUGCCUCGCAAGAUUUCCUGAUUAGCACGUUCUGCCUGCCCGUUGGACUGGGGGUGGGCCACUGACGAUACGUCAAGCCGGAUAUGCUCACGUUCACAGAAUUCUUUCAUAGCUCCCUUGGACAGAUUAGUGCCAUUGUCAGUAAUGAUACUGUGUGGAAAGCCAAACCGGAAAAUCACCUUUUUGAUGAACUGCACCGCUGUUGCCGCAUCACACUUACUGACAGGUUCCGCUUCAACCCACUUGGUGAACUUGUCCACUACCACCAACAGGUGGGUCUUCUUAUCUUUGGAUCGCUUAAAGGGCCCAACCAUAUCCAGCCCCCAGGUCGCAAACGGCCACGUUAUUGGGAUCAUCCGCAAUUCCUGUGCCGGUACAUGAGCACGCCUGGAGAAUUUCUGACAUCCAUCGCACCGUUUGACCAAGUCCUCCGCAUCAGCAUGAGCAGUUAACCAGUAAAAUCCAUGACGGAAUGCCUUUGCCACCAGGGACUUUGAACCGGCGUGAUGCCCGCAAUCCCCUUCAUGGAUUUCUUUUAAAAUUUCACAACCUUCCUCAGGGGAAACACAGCGUUGAAACACCCCUGAAACACUGCAAUGAUGCAACUCACCAUUAAGAAUCGUCAUAGAUUUGGAGCGCCGGAUUAUCUGUCUGGCCAGAACCUCAUCGUCUGGCAACUCUCCUCGAGUCAUAUACGCAAGGUAAGGAACCGUCCAAUCCGGAAUAGCAUGUACUGCUGCCACCAACUGAGCCUCCGGAUCAGGAAUUGCCAAAUCUGCUUCACCAGGGAGCUGAACCGACGGGUUGUGCAAGACGUCCAGAAAGACAUUAGGUGGAACCGGUUUACGCUGAGAACCCAAACGGCUUAAAGCGUCUGCCGCUUCGUUCUUCCGGCGAUCCACAUGAUCCACUUGAUAGCCUUUGAAGCAACCUGCAAUAUUAUCCACUUCUCGACGAUAUGCAGCCAUGAGGGGGUCCUUAGAAUCCCAAGUGCCAGAUACUUGCUGAGCCACCAGGUCCGAGUCACCAAAGCACUUAACCCGGCUUAAGUUCAUCUCCUUAGCCAUUCGGAGACCAUGGAGCAAGGCUUCGUACUCAGCUGCAUUAUUAGUACAAGGGAACAUUAGACGGAGAACGUAACAAAACUUAUCACCUCGUGGGGAAGUUAAAACGACUCCAGCCCCCGAGCCUUCCAAUUGUCUGGAUCCGUCAAAAUUAAUAGUCCAGUAUGUGUGAUCCGGCUUCUCCUCUGGUGCUUGUAGCUCUGUCCAGUCAUUAAUGAAAUCAACAAGGGCUUGUGACUUUACUGCUGUGCGCGGUAUAUACUUUAGCCCAUGCGGCCCAAGCUCGAUGGCCCAUUUUGCAAUCCGGCCAGUCGCCUCCCGGUUUUGUAUGAUAUCACCCAAAGGAGCUGAACUAACCACUGUAAUAGGAUGCCCUUGGAAAUAUUGUUUCAGCUUCCGGCUGGCCAUAAAAACACCAUAGACUAGCUUUUGCCAAUGCGGAUAUCUCUGCUUGGACUCAAUAAGCACCUCACUGAUAUAAUAAACCGGCCGUUGAACCGGAUAUUCCUUUCCUGCCUCCUUGCGUUCUACCACAAUGGCUACGCUCACUGCUCGAGCAUUGGCUGCCACAUAUAACAACAGCGGUUCCUUGUCAAUCGGAGCCGCAAGAACAGGCGGGUUGGCCAAUUGCCGCUUUAGAUCCUCAAAGGCUUCAUCAGCAGCUGGACUCCAGACAAAAUUAUCCGUCUUCCUCAGCAUCUGGUAUAGGGGGAUGGCCUUCUCUCCGAGGCGGCUGAUAAACCGGCUCAACGCAGCAAUCCGGCCCGCCAGGCGUUGAACAUCGUUGAUACACUUCGGUUUAGCCAAGGAAGUGAUGGCUUUAAUUUUCUCCGGAUUAGCCUCGAUUCCUCUGUUAGACACCAGGAACCCCAAUAACUUGCCAGCCGGAACACCAAAAACGCACUUGGCCGGAUUAAGCAUCAUCUUAUAAAUGCGCAAGUUGUCGAAGGUCUCCUUCAAAUCUUCCACCAGUGUCUCCUUUUGUCUUGAUUUCACCACAAUGUCAUCUACAUAAGCAUGCACAUUGCGGCCAAUCUGCGUAUGCAAGCAAUUCUGCACACACCGCUGAUAAGUAGCCUGGGCACUCUUGAGCCCAAAGGGCAUAGAUACAUAGCAGAAGGCUCCAAAGGGAGUUAUAAACGCUGUUUUCUCCUGGUCUUUAACCGCCAUUUUGAUCUGAUGAUAUCCAGAGUACGCGUCCAAAAAACUUAAGCGCUCACAUCCUGCCGUGGCAUCAAUAAUCUGAUCAAUGCGGGGGAGAGCAAAAGGAUCUGCUGGGCAAGCCUUGUUGAGAUCUGUGUAGUCCACACACAUACGCCAGGUGCCGUUUUUCUUAAGGACCAGCACCGGAUUAGCAAGCCACUCCGGAUGAAACACCUCAAUGAUAAAGCCAGCCGCCAGAAGCCUGGCUACUUCUUCCCCAAUAGCCUUGCGCCUUUCUUCAUUAAACCGGCGGAGAAACUGUUUCACCGGUUUAUACUUAGGAUCCACAUUAAGUGUGUGCUCAGCGAGUUCCCUCGGUACACCUGGCAUGUCAGAUGGCUUCCAUGCAAAGAUGUCCCGGUUCUCACGGAUGAACUCGAUGAGCGCGCCUUCCUAUUUGGGGUCCAGGUUGGCACUGACAGUGAACUGUUUGGAUGAAUCGCCUGGCACAAAGUCAACAAGCUUGGUCUCAGCUGCCGAUUUAAACUUCAGAUCCGAUUCAUGCUCUGUAGUGGGUUUCUUCAAAGGGGUCAUAUCUGCCGGAUCAACAUUGUCCUUAUAGAACUUUAACUCCUCCGUGGCACAGACCGCCUCUGCAUAAGCUGCAUCUCCUUCCUCACAUUCCAAAGCGACUCGGCGGCUUCCAUGCACCGUUAUCGUUCCUUUGUAACCCGGCAUUUUGAGCUGCAAGUAAAUAUAACAAGGCCGUGCCAUGAACUUAGCAUAAGCUGGCCGUCCAAACAAGGCAUGAUAUGGACUCCGGAUUUUCACCACUUCAAAAGUUAGCUUUUCAGACCGGGAAUCAUGCUCAUCUCCAAAAGCCACAUCCAGGGCUAUCUUACCAACAGGAUAAGCAGAUUUGCCUGGUACUACACCAUGGAACACCGUAUUGGACGGUCUGAGAUCUUUGUCUGUGAGACCCAUGCGACGGAAAGUUUCAUAGUAUAAUAUAUUGAUGCUGCUUCCUCCAUCCAUAAGCACCUUAGUAAACUUAUAGCUCCCAACCUGAGGAUCUACCACUAAUGCCAGCUGACCCGGAUUAUCAACCCGGGGGGGAUGGUCCUCUCUGCUCCAUACGAUAGGCUGCUCUGACCAGCGCAAAUACCGCGGCAAAGCCGGUUCAACAGAAUUUACUGCCCGUUUGUGAAGCUUCCGAUCCCGCUUGUCCAAACUGGUUGUGAAAACAUGAUACUGCCCGCCAUUCAACUGCUUUGGUUGGCUCUGAUAGCCUGACUGUUGCUGCUGCUGCUGGCCACCUUGAUUACUCUGAUUAUUGAGAUUGCCCUGGUUAUGCCCUGAACCAGAAGCUCCGUCCUGACCCGGCCCAUGGAAACCGGAUCCUGAACCACCACCUGACCCCUGGUCAUAUCGGAAAGCAUCGGAAUUUUUGAACUCCUGCAUAAUAUAACAAUCUUUCCAAAGAUGAUUCGAUGGGGAUUCCUUCGUUCCAUGCUUGGGACAAGGCUGAUUCAACAAGUAAUUCAAACGGUUUGCACUAGCAUUUGGACCCCGAUUCGCCUUGCCUUUGCGCCGCGGGCCUCUGUCCUGCGCAUUAGUGUUGGCUACGAAAUCCGGAUUACCAUCAGCCUUGCGCUUGCCCCCGUUUCCAUGACCUGCCGGUUUGAAAUGCUGCUGCUUGGAGUUGCCGUUCUUCUUUCCCUUCCCUGCUUCAUCAUCAUCUGCUUCAGGAUCCUUGGUACUGUCUGAAUCGGCAUAUUUUACCAAAGCGGCCAUGAGGGUUCCCAUAUCAUUGCAGAACCGCUUCAUACGUCCCAGCUUAAAUUUCAAAGGCUCAAACCGGCAGUUGCUUUCCAAUGUUAUGAUCGCCGAGUCAGCAUUGAUCCGGUCCGAAGAGUGCAAAAUCUCAGACACACGGCGUACCCAACGGGUUGUUGACUCCCCUUCUUCCUGAACGCAAGCCGCCAGGUCUACUAUGGACUUGGGCUGCUUACAUGUAUCCUUGAAAUUCUGGAUAAACCGGGCCCGUAGCUGACCCCAUGAACUGAUAGAAUUGGGCGGCAAGCUUUUCAACCAAGUACGCGCUGUGCCCUCCAUCAUCAUGGUGAAGUACUUUGCACACGCGGCUUCAUCAACAUCUAGCAUCUCCAUGGCCAUCUCAUAACUCUCAACCCACGCUUCAGGGGAUAGAUCUGCAGUGUAAUUUGGCACCUUGCGCGGGCCUUUAAAAUCCUUAGGCAGACGCACAUUGCGUAAAGCGGGGAUUAAACAGGGCACUCCCAAAGCGGAUGUGACUCCUGGUCCGGCGAAGGUGGUAGGGCGAACCGGUGUGUGUUGAUCCGCUUCAUCCUGCGCUGCUAACUCAGCCUCUCUGCGUGCCCGGGCCCGAUCCACCACCUCCUGAGCAUCACGACCGCCGCCUAUCUGGUGAUUGCCUCGGGCCGCUUCACGGUCCCGCGCGUUACUUGAUAGGGCCGGUUCAUCCAUGCGCCUGCUGUAGCUCCGGCUUGGAUGGGGCGUAGAGUGAAUCCGAUCGCGGCUGUAUGAAUACGCUUCCUGCUGGAUCAGUGCAGUCCGGAGAAGCUCCUUAACCCGGCGUGUCUCAACUGCUUGUGGGGAGUCUCCUUCGACUGGGAUCGCCUCCAAUCGUGUCGCAGCCGCAACAAGGUUGUCCAUAGGGUUGGAGUAAUGGCCCGGGGGCGUCUGUACCGGCGGAGGAAUCACCGUAUUCUGGUGCGGGGGCUCCAUUAGGCGCGGUUGGACCGUCGCUCCCGCUCCUGGUGCCUCAAUCCGGUUUACCUCCUUGUGCUGGGGCGGGUUACUGGGUCUGGCUCCGGGGGUCUGAAAGAGGUUUCUAGGGUCAAAUCCUGAUGGCAGGCGCGAUCUGUACUUCCGCCUUAACACCUCCUGCGACGCGCUCUGGUCGAGCAUGAGUUUGUAAGCUUGUGCAUCCAAAGCGGCCCGCUCUGCAGCCAUACGCUCCUUCUCUGCUGCUAGAUCCGCUUUGGCUUGCGCGAUCUGCUCUUUCACCUUCGCAAUUUCUGCGUUAUGAGCCUCCUGAUCUGCUGGAUUGUCCUCCGCCAUGAGCGCUGCUAGUGCAUCAAACAGAUCUGACAGAACUUGAACCGGCGGUCGCACCGGGCCUCCUGUCCCUGCUGCCGCUGCUGAAUCGGAAAGCAUUGCUGCUGCGGUUGAAGAGAGGUUUGCUGCUUGCGUACCGGCCAUGAACACUCCAACCCGGUUUAGCUGGCUUGGGGGGUCCGGAAUACUGUCACCGUCGGAACAGCCCCUGAUCAUAUCAUCCUGCAACUGGUACAAUGACUCGGUCUCUCCUGCUGAAGAUUCAUCGCCGGAGUAAACGACGGUCUCGCUACCGUGCUCUGAACCGGCAUCAUACUCCCCUUCAUGGGUGACUCCAACGAAGACAUGCUUCACGGCCGGUUUAGCCCGGGCUGGUCGCGCGCGCUGAGCCGUCUCGACGAGGUCGGUGCAGAUGUCCGGCUCAGGUCCAGGCCCUCUGAUCUUGCCGAUGAAAACGUGUAUGCCGCCGAAGGGGACCCGGUAUCCAUACUCGAUUGAAUCGGCCUCGGGACCCCAUCCAGCAUCGUCGAUGUAGAUCCGGCCGCGACGACUCUUGGUCAUCCGGCCCACGACGUAGCCUUCGAGUCCUUUGAGCGUGCCCUCCAAGAUCGUCAAACCAUCGUGCGAUAGCCCCACGGUGGGCGCCAACUGUCGUGGAUUUGUCACGGCAGAUGUCCUAGCAUAAGGACUUAGUCGUGGAGCCAUCGCUACGGGUUUACUUGUAGGGGUUAAAGCGGACACAAAGACACGAGAGUUUUAUACUAGUUCGGCCCCUUCGAUGAAGGUAAAAGCCUACGUCUAGUUGUGAUGGAAUUGAUGUAGUCUCGAUGGCUAGGGAGCAAAUAAGCUUCGCCUAGGCUCGAGUUGUGGUUGUCUGUCCUUGAACCGCCGCCGGGUCGUCCCCUUAUAUACACGAGUGACGCCUGUCGGUUCGUAGAGUCCCAACCGGUUCAUACUCGUAUCCCGGUUGGUAUCUCUCUAUUCCUAACUUACAACACAAGUCAUAUAUCAGGCCGGUUUACGGCUACAAGUUCCAAACCAACUACAGGCCUUGGGCCUUUCUAUGAUUACACCACCAGCGGAGCUAACCCGGCCCAAGCUUGGCCGGUUUACACCUAGUAGUAAUAUCCCCAACA